ACUUGUGACCUAAAUUCUUUAAAGGCACCAGAUUCUGUCUGAUCUCGGAAGCUAAGCAGGGCCAGCUCUGGUUAGUAUUUGUAUAGAAGCCAAUCAGCGAAUACGAGGUUAUCUAGGC
rnacentral:rRNA from 11 species